UAAUGUGGUAGUUUCUGUAUUCGGCAGAUCUGUAAUUGUAUCAGAGCGGCCUUAAACUACCACAGAGAUCAGAAAGGAGAAGGCUGAGCUGAGAACUCUUUCAAGCUUUUUUGGUUUUCAGCUUUUUGUUCAGCUCCUACAGAA
rnacentral:snoRNA from 1 species